GAUGAACGCUAGUUACAGGCUUAACACAUGCAAGUCGAGGGGCAGCAUGAAAGGAACUUCGGUUCUUUUUGAUGGCGACCGGCGCACGGGUGCGUAACGCGUAUCGAACCUGCCUCAUACUCGGGGAUAGCCUUGCGAAAGUAAGAUUAAUACCCGGCGGUCUCGGAUGGCCGCAUGACUAUCCGAGUGAAGAUUUAUCGGUAUGAGAUGGCGAUGCGUCCCAUUAGCUUGUUGGUGGGGUAACGGCUCACCAAGGCAUCGAUGGGUAGGGGUUCUGAGAGGAAGGUCCCCCACAUUGGAACUGACACACGGCCCAAACUCCUACGGGAGGCAGCAGUGAGGAAUAUUGGUCAAUGGACGAAAGUCUGAACCAGCCAAGUAGCGUGCAGGAUGACGGCCCUCUGGGUUGUAAACUGCUUUUAUUUGGAAAUAAAAAGAGGGACGUGUCCCUUAUUGUAUGUACCAUCAGAAAAAGGACCGGCUAAUUCCGUGCCAGCAGCCGCGGUAAUACGGAAGGUCCAGGCGUUAUCCGGAUUUAUUGGGUUUAAAGGGAGCGCACGCGGCGGCGUAAGUCAGUUGUGAAAUCGUGCGGCUUAACCGUGCAAUUGCAGUUGAUACUGCGUCGCUUGAGUGCACAUAGGGAUGUUGAAAUUCAUGGUGUAGCGGUGAAAUGCUUAGAUAUCAUGAAGAACUCCGAUCGCGAAGGCAUAUGUCCGGAGUGCAACUGACGCUGA
rnacentral:rRNA from 1 species